rnacentral:rRNA from 1 species
AGAUUGAACGCUGGCGGCAUGCCUUACACAUGCAAGUCGAACGGCAGCACGGGAGCAAUCCUGGUGGCGAGUGGCGAACGGGUGAGUAAUAUAUCGGAACGUGCCCAGUCGUGGGGGAUAACGCAGCGAAAGCUGUGCUAAUACCGCAUACGAUCUAUGGAUGAAAGCGGGGGAUCGCAAGACCUCGCGCGAUUGGAGCGGCCGAUAUCAGAUUAGCUAGUUGGUAGGGGUAAAAGCCUACCAAGGCGACGAUCUGUAGCUGGUCUGAGAGGACGACCAGCCACACUGGAACUGAGACA